rnacentral:rRNA from 1 species
AACGAACGCUGGCGGCAGGCUUAACACAUGCAAGUCGAACGAAGGCUUCGGCCUUAGUGGCGCACGGGUGAGUAACACGUGGGAAUAUACCUCUUGGUGGGGGAUAACGUCGGGAAACUGACGCUAAUACCGCAUACGCCCUUCGGGGGAAAGAUUUAUCGCCGAGAGAUUAGCCCGCGUCCGAUUAGCUAGUUGGUGAGGUAACGGCUCACCAAGGCGACGAUCGGUAGCUGGUCUGAGAGGAUGAUCAGCCACACUGGGACUGAGACACGGCCCAGACUCCGACGGGAGGCAGCAGUGGGGAAUAUUGGACAAUGGGGGCAACCCUGAUCCAGCCAUGCCGCGUGAGUGAUGAAGGCCUUAGGGUUGUAAAGCUCUUUCACCCACGACGAUGAUGACGGUAGUGGGAGAAGAAGCCCCGGCUAACUUCGUGCCAGCCGCCGCGGUAA